rnacentral:sRNA from 1 species
UCGAUGAGCGCGGACUGGUUCGACAGGGGGAACGAAGCCGGGAAGGCGGAGCGCGAGCUA